AGAGUUUGAUCCUGGCUCAGGACGAACGCUUGCGGCGUGCCUAAGAAAUGCAAGUCGAGCGGGGGUAGCAAUACCCUAGCGGCGAACGGUCGCGUAACACGUAAGCAACCUGCCCCGAAGACCGGGACAACAUCUCGAAAGGGGUGCUAAUACCGGAUGUGGCCACUUCCUCGCAUGUGGAGGUGAUUAAACCGAGCAAU
rnacentral:rRNA from 1 species